CAAACCCAUAACCCUAAUGUUGUCAGCACCGUACUCCACGUGGGAAUCAAACCCAUAACCCUAAUGUUGUCAGCACCGUGCUCCAACCAACUGAGCCACCUCAGAACUGUCACACCGUGAGCAUGAUGAAGAUAUCACAGUGAGUCUUUUUUCUAACAGCUCUCCUGCAGCUCUCCUGUACCCCGACCUCUUGUCGCUACGGAAACAGUGCGCUGCCCUCACAAUGCUCACUCGCUCUGGGGAGAGACGCAGAGGAGAGGAGACGAAGGAGGAGGGAAGCUCCGAGCUGGACAGAGGGAUGAAGAGGGACUGGCAUGCAAGAGAUCCCAGGACAGUCAGCAGCAGCCCCUCCAUCUGAAGCAUCAGAGGACAGAUCCCGUGAGCAAACUGAGGAAUAGAGAGAAAGAGAGAAACGGAUGCUGGGAAUCUCUCCCUAGAUCAAAGCAGAGACACGGAAAGAGG
ensembl:lncRNA